rnacentral:rRNA from 1 species
GGAUUAGGCAUGCAAGUCGAACGAGGGAGUGUUCCGAAAGGGGCACAAACCGAGUGGCGUAAGGGUGAGUAAUGCAUUGAUAACCUACCUUUGAGACGGGGAUAACAACGUUCCGCAAGGGACUCCCGAAAGGGUUGCUAAUACCCGAUAAAACUCAUGGUGCUUCGGUAUCGGGAGUCAAAGGUUUGGGGCUGAAAGGUUCCAUAUGCUCAGAGAGGGGUCAAUGUCCUAUCAGCUAGUUGGCAGGGUAAAGGCCUACCAAGGCGAAGACGGGUAGCCGGCCUGAGAGGGUGGUCGGCCACAUUGGGACUGAGACACUGCCCAGACUCCUACGGGAGGCUGCAGUCGAGAAUCUUUCGCAAUGCCCGGAAGGGUGACGAAGCGACGCCGCGUGUGGGAAGAAGGCCUUCGGGUUGUAAACCACUGUCGGGAGUUAAGAAGUGUAAGGGGGUGAAUAGCCCUCUUACUUGACGUUAGCUCCGGAGGAAGCCACGGCUAACUCUGUGCCAGCAGCCGCGGUAAUACAGAGGUGGCAAGCGUUGUUCGGAAUUAUUGGGCGUAAAGAGCACGUAGGCGGCCCUACAAGUCAGCUGUGAAAUCCUUCUGCUCAACGGAAGAACGGCAGUUGAUACUAUAGGGCUGGAGUGCGGGAGGGGAGAGUGGAACUUCUGGUGGAGCGGUGAAAUGCGUAGAUAUCAGAAGGAACAUCGGCGGCGAAAGCGGCUCUCUGGCCCGUAACUGACGCUGAGGUGCGAAAGCUAGGGGAGCAAACGGGAUUAGAUACCCCGGUAGUCCUAGCCGUAAACGAUGGGCACUAAGUAGAGGGGUUU